GAGGGAGUCCCUCCCUCUAAAACCACUCUGUGUGGGGAACAUGAGAGCCAGACCAAAGCUCAGAGGAACCAGCCUGGACCUCCACCCAGCUCUGUGUCCUUAAGGAGUGACCGGUCUAAUGAUCGCUGGAUUAAUUUUAAAGUCCAGCCUGUGUCUGCUGCAGAGAGGGCUGUUUGAUGACGAUUUGGACUCCUCUGGGAGAUGAGGACACACCCACAUCUGUUCCAU